rnacentral:rRNA from 1 species
ACAUGCUUACAACAUAACGUUAAUGCACCAGAUCCCAUUAGAACUUUGUAGUUAAGCACACUCGGGCUAGAAUAGUAUUGGGAUUGGUGAUCUUCCGGUAAGUCUUUGUAUUUUACAUGCC